CCCCCCCCGCACAUGGAUGAACAGUGAGAUCGUGAACACUCCCUUGCCGAGCCCAGGACCCAUGGAUGUCAAUCAAACGUGGAUGGCAUUUGCUUGUCAAUACGGGGAUGAUGGCUGGGAAGAUGGUGACUUAUUACAUCAGGGUGAGAAUCUGAAAUGAGCAAGAACAAACAACAGCACAGCAAGCGGAACAGGAACCUCCCGGCGGCCUGGGAUCUUGUCUGCGGCUACCAUAGCACCGAGCGUCUCCUUUUCGGUUCCCUCCGCCUACCUUCCACAGCACCCCGGUUUAGUUCUUUCUUUCCUUCUUCUCGGUUUCAAAAGUAAGGUCAAAUGAGCCGGCGGAAGACAACACCGACUCAUUGAUUCUUUUAAGAGAAAUGUCGGGAGCUCCUUCAGGCCUUUCCUGGGAGAAUCAAGAGCGAGGCGCAGGCCCGCCGGGCCCAACCCAGCCUAGGUCUCCAGGUUUUCUCUCCCUCUGGCUGCUGAGGGGGCCACUGCUCUUGCUACUGGACAAGAGUCCUUCCCACUCCUCAAACCUUUAACUUUUAUUUUCGGGUAGUGGUUUUAGAAACGUGUGUCUGUGUCUUGGGAAUAAUUAUACAUGUAUUUCAGAAUACUUUUAUUCACACGAGGAACCUUAUUUUCAUAUAUUUGAGCAGCGGACACAUAGCAAAUUCUCCACUGACCACGAUGCCUAUUUUCCUAACACACGAUCUGGGUUGCUUCUCAAAAGCCACCUUUCUUUUAGGGGAUGAGAUGGUAAAGGGUGGUAACAGGAUGAAGGUUAAUGCAUUAAUCAAACUCUUUUCCGAUGCACCAAGCUAUCAACAUUCAGAAGACUUCUUUAUUGCUAAAGAGAGUCCAGGUGGGGGAUAGAGGGGGCAGUUUUUAAAAGGUAGAGUUGAAUAAAUAAAUUCUCAUUGAAAAAUCUCAAGAUACAUGGCAUUUUCCGCUGGAGACUGCUCACCUUACAGAGGAACCCAGUGAGGAUGCCAUGAAAUGGUAGGGUUGGAAUGAAUGCGGGCAAGCGAGUCCACACCAGCUCACGUUUGCAGAUGUUGUAAGGGCGGGACACAGCUGGGAGCAGAAUCGGGGCUGUCCAGUGCGCGUGCUGGUACCCUUUCCUCUACAUUGCACUGACGGACCUAUGGUACCGCUCUGUUCAUGGAGGCUCCUCUCCUUCUCCUUCCUUUAAUGCCAAAGCGCAGCUUGGCUUCGCGAGCGAGGGCACUGGCAUCUUAAAGUUCUGCUGAGGUUUGGAAAGGUGCUCUGUAGUCCUUCACGAAGAAGGCAACGUUGGCCAGGCCACAUGGCUGAGCCAUUUUCCUGUUGAGUGCACAAACCCCGGGUGGCCCGUGGACAUUUGGCUUUUCAGCGAAGUAAGUUUAAAUUAUGGGUCUCCUUCCUUCUCUAGAAGCGUCCCACCAUGUGCUUUGGGAGAAGCUUCUUGUUGUCGUUCAGGAUGACUGGGUAGUAGGUGAACUAAUGGCAGCUUGCAGCCACUUUCCACCACUUGAAUUUCUGAGAAGGUUCUCUGGAAAGUUACUCACGCUUCAGCCCUUAUUCUGACAGUUUGAAUAAGCCAUCUGAUAUGGCAUAUUACUCAUCAUCUCUAUAUGUAUAUAAUAAUAGAAAAUGUGUCAAUUAAAAAAAAAAUAUUUGGUUCUCUUCAGUCAUCAUCAGAGAAGCAAGUUAUCGCUCAGAUUUGAUGUUAAUCUUGGAGAUGAGCCCUGGGAAUCUAAUUUUCCCAAUCAUUUCUCAAGGAAACCCAAGGCUCCGUAUUCCCGUUCCUUCUACACCUGGGACUCUGUGACCAUUCGGAUUAUGAAGUUAAACGCAGAAACCCAAGAUCCAGGUUGGAUGACGGUGCUGUGAUUUUCAUCUUCCCCACAUCAUCUCUGUCUCUUUCGGAGAACCCAGCAGAUCCUGCACACGCGACUCCCACACAGAUGUGCAGGGACAUCAUUAAUCUUUAUUGAGCGCCCACCGGCAGCACAGCCCUACACUGGGCUCUUACAAGGCAAACAAAUCUUUAGUCAUGAGAAUGAUUUCCAAAUGCAGCCACACUUAAACAGAAAUAGCAUUUAUAAGGAGACAAUAAAAGGAGUUAGCAAACCCAAGGACUAUCUACAGGAACAGAGAUUUUAAAAGUCUGAAAAAAAAUCAGACUGGGAUCAGCUAUUUACCUUUGAUUUCUGGGUCUCCAAAUUGUAUUUCAGGACAUAUACUCCUUUGGCUGAGGAAUUCGAGAUUUCUAGAAAGGGUCUGCUUGGAGUAAUGGAAGGAAGUAGUAGUAUAUCCUUAUGGCUUUGGAAUCAGAGGAGUCUUAAUUUGGAUCCAGUGUCUUCAUUUACUAGCUAUGAAAGUUACUUAAUCUCCCUGAGGCUUAAUUCCCUUUUCUCUAAAAUGGGAAUAACACUAACACCUAAAUUGUAGGGUUGUUGUGAAGACGCAAGUUACUGCGUCAAUUACAGUGCUACCCAACUCAUGACCAGGGCCCAGUAAAUGUCAGUUUUCAUGUUUAUCUGUUGUAGGACUGCUGAGUAGAACAUGUGCAUACGGGCUGGACGGUAGGACACAGGCUUCGUAAAGGAAGCUAAAGGGUCAGACUUAAGACAAAUGCCAUCAAAUGGAUACUAAGUAUCACAGACUUGGACAAAACUAGAUAGAACACACAAGUUUUCCAGGAGAGGUGCCUGUGUAUCAUAUUAUAUAAUAUGAAAUGAAGUAAGACAAAACUCAAAACAACGCUCACCUUCACUUUUCUCCAAAAUAAGAAAAAAAAAAACACUUUUAUAGCAAGAUAAUUUGAAUUCACUGCAGUUUCACAGACCAACAUGUUGGAUUUAAAACCUACUAGGAAGCGUUAAAAUGUGCCCCCCCCACCCCGUUCCCGGAAAGUUCCCCAAAUCAACAGGUUGCAAAUGUAUAUAAAAAUCAUUGAGAUAGUUUCUCAGGAACUGUUCCCGUGGAUGACGAUUCUUGAAAAAGUUAACAUAUAUCAGAGAGGGCUGCUUUGUAUAGUUAGCCAGAAGAGUAAUCACUCUGAAGGAAAUAAAUCAUAACCACAUGCAGUAGGGAAUUUUCAACAAAAAACUCUCCAUGGAGGAUAGUGAGUUGGAAAGCUGGCUUGACAGGUCUUUUGCCAGAAAACUAUUGAAUAGCCAGCUGGAAAAUUAUUGAGUAGCACAUUGCAUAAGACUUGGUAUAAUGCAUGGCUUCAAGUUGGCCUCAAAUUCUUGUCAUAUCAAUCAAUGCAAGGAUGAAAUCUCUAAUAUGGAUAUGCUAUUUUAUACUCGCUUUCCACGGGUGGAAUGGUCAGGCCCUAAGACCCUAUUUGAUGUAGAACUGAAGGGAAAGUUACCAACAAUGAAAUCUCAGGGGUCAGCAAGUCCUCCCAAGUGAUGGUCGUGAUAACUCGGCCAUACAAGGAAGAUGGGCGAGUUCAAGAAACUGCUGCCAUUAGACUAUAGGGCAUUCCAAGCAGAAGAUAUAUCAUAGAAACACAGCUGCGAAGCCUUAUAGCAGACAAGGUCAAUUGGUCAGGUCAGAUUGGUUAAUCAGGCAGGUAGCGAUAAGAACUGCGGUAGUCUUAUUGUUUUAAAAAUCAAAAGCAUCAUGAAUCCUGACAGAGGUUACAGAGAACCACCAACAGAGCCAGACCCUGCCAAGAGCAGCUGCUAUUCUAGAAUCUGGGUCUAAGCGAGAUUGGGCUGGGGUCGAUAGAAACAUCAAAUGAAAGUACAUUCAGCCCCACUGCUAUAUGAGAGUACCCCCAGAGAAACUCACUUUCAAAUAUGAACAAUCUGUCCUGUGGAAAAAAAAUAUUGCAUUCCUUGGGUAUUUGUAGAUGAAUAGACAUAUCAGCUUUUCCCUAAUUCGGGCAACCUCUUGGGAAUAGUCUUGAACUACGUAAAAAUAGAUACAGUUUAAAACCAUAAUCCUAAAAAUAAAUUGUAAUUUAGAUCUGUAAUAAGCUGGAGGGGAAAAAAUUUAACUAUCGUAGGGAGUUGUAUGUUCAAUAUAAGUAGUUGUAUAUUUCAGUGUUUCCCAUUGAAAGUAGUUGCAACAAUUCAUCAUUUAAUUACUUUAUAUUUGGCUCUGGAAAGUGGAAAAUGUAGUAAAAGGUGGUGCUACUUA